AUGGCGCCGGCAGGCAGCCGGCCGGCGGCUCUCGGGCUCCCCUCGCCGGUGAGCCCGGGUGAGGGCAGGCGGCCGGGGAGACGUCCUUGGGCGAAGGGCAGAGGGGCUGCCGACCCCCGGGCUUCCUCGGUGGUGCUCUGCAGCCCUCGGGUGGCGAAGGUCCUGGUGGUGAAGGUUCUGGAAACAAAGCCCUCUCCUCCAGGCCCGUGCUGCUGUAGGACAGAUUGGACGGUACGGUGGGUGCUUUGCCGGAGCGCUGGACGUGAAGCGACAUCUGUGGUAUUUUACCUUGUUCCUGUGCAAAGUGCACCCCGAGUUUAGGAGAGCGAUGCUGCUUAGGUCACUGUUUAUAAUGUAGCUGCAUCUGAAGAACUAGGAAGUGGCUCUGU
rnacentral:lncRNA from 1 species